UACGUAGGGUGCGAGCGUUGUCCGGAUUUAUUGGGCGUAAAGAGCUCGUAGGCGGUUUGUCGCGUCGGCCGUGAAAUCUCCACGCUUAACGUGGAGCGUGCGGUCGAUACGGGCAGACUUGAGUUCGGUAGGGGAGACUGGAAUUCCUGGUGUAGCGGUGAAAUGCGCAGAUAUCGGGAGGAACACCAGUAGCGAAGGCGGCACUCUGGGCCGUGACUGACGCUGAGGAGCGAAAGCGUGGGUAGCAAACAGG
rnacentral:rRNA from 1 species